rnacentral:rRNA from 1 species
AUACGUAGGGUGCAAGCGUUAAUCGGAAUUACUGGGCGUAAAGCGUGCGCAGGCGGUUUUGUAAGACAGAGGUGAAAUCCCCGGGCUCAACCCGGGAACUGCCUUUUUGACUGCAAGGCUAGAGUACGGCAGAGGGGGAUGGAAUUCCGCGUGUAGCAGGGAAAUGCGUAGAUAUGCGGAGGAAAACCGAUGGCGAAGGCAAUCCCCUGGGCCUGUACUGACGCUCAUGCACGAAAGCGUGGGGAGCAAACAGGAUUUGAUACCCUGGUAGUCCACGCCCUAAACGAUGUCAACUGGUUGUUGGGUCUUCAUUGACUCAGUAACGAAGCUAACGCGUGAAGUUGACCGCCUGGGGAGUACGGCCGCAAGGUUGAAACUCAAAGGAAUUGACGGGG